rnacentral:rRNA from 1 species
UACGUAGGGUGCAAGCGUUGUCCGGAAUUAUUGGGCGUAAAGAGCGUGUAGGCGGCCAGGUAGGUCCGUUGUGAAAACUGGAGGCUUAACCUCCAGCGGUCGAUGGAAACCAUCUGGCUAGAGUCCGGAAGAGGAGAGUGGAAUUCCUGGUGUAGCGGUGAAAUGCGCAGAUAUCAGGAAGAACACCCGUGGCGAAGGCGGCUCUCUGGGACGGUACUGACGCUGAGACGCGAAAGCGUGGGGAGCGAACAGG